rnacentral:rRNA from 1 species
UAAUACGUAGGGGGCAAGCGUUGUCCGGAUUCAUUGGGCGUAAAGGGCGAGUAGGUGGUUAUGCAAGUCGGAUGUGAAAACUCCAGGCUCAACCUGGAGACGCCACCCGAUACUGCAUUGACUAGAGUUCGGUAGGGGAUCACGGAAUACCUGGUGUAGCGGUGAAAUGCGCAGAUAUCAGGUGGAACACCGGUGGCGAAGGCGGUGAUCUGGGCCGACACUGACACUGAAUCGCGAAAGCGUGGGGAGCGAACAGGAUUAGAUACCCUGGUAGUCCACGCCGUAAACGUUGGGCACUAGGUGUGGGGUCUUACCAACGGACUCCGUGCCGUAGCUAACGCAUUAAGUGCCCCGCCUGGGGAGUACGGUCGCAAGACUA